AUCAGAAAUAGGGCUCUCAGUUAACAUAGUACCAGCAAAGUUUGCAGCAUAUAUGGGAGGAGGAGUCUGAGCAGUGGAGUCCCCUAACUUGGUCUGAUGUAAUAAAUUCAUCAACUGGUCAUAAUCUUGUCUGCUCAACCCUGGUAUCACAGAGGUCUGGCCAUCUAUCCUUGCAACAGGUUGAUGGCUAUCAGGAGGAUUCCCUUGAGGAACAGACAGAAGGCCAUCAGAAUGAAGAGAAUCCAGGCCAGUACUUAGAUGGGCAGCAACAGGUCUCCUUCUCUUGUUAAAAGUGUUAUUUUGUGGAUAUCCAUGAAUCUUGAAGCACUUAUCAAUUAAAUGUCCAGAUUUUUUACAGUAUCUACAGAAUAAAGGUCCUCUAGCCUGGUCAAAACUGAUUCUCUGUCUGAAAGGAGAAGGAGGAACAUGCACUGUGGCCUUGGUAAAUCCAACAGGCUGCCUAUUAGUAUGUACAUUGAAAGAGACAGAGUCUGGAUUAAAGUGAGAAGAAGACUGGACUUGUCUUUGUUUCUCAUCAUUGUUGUAUGUACAUUGAAAGAGACAGAGGCUGGAUCAAAGUGAGAGGAAGACUGAAUUUGUAUUUGCUUCUCAUCAUUGAGGACCAUAUUAUAAACAUUGUCAAGAGAAUGAGGAGGCUGCAUCAUCAAAAGAUUACUCCUGACCCCCAUAUAUGCUUCAUUCAGACCCAUUAAAAACUGAAAAACCUUAUUGUCAUCAUUUUCCUAUACUAUACCAUCUUUUGCAGCACAAAUACACCUUUGACCAUGACUAACACACAUUGAAUCAAGUUCAUCCCACAGUCCUUUAGCUUAUUAAAAUAGGAAGCUAUAUCUAAGGACCCUUGGGAGGUGUGGGACAACUCUCUUUUCAGUUCAAAGAUUUUGGUCCUGUUUGCAGUGCCAUAUCUG
rnacentral:lncRNA from 1 species